AACGUGCCCAGUCGUGGGGGAUAACGUAGAGAAAUUUACGCUAAUACCGCAUACGAUCUAAGGAUGAAAGCGGGGGACCUUCGGGCCUCGCGCGAUUGGAGCGGCUGAUAUCAGAUUAGGUUGUUGGUGAGGUAAAAGCUCACCAAGCCGACGAUCUGUAGCUGGUUUGAGAGAACGACCAGCCACACUGGGACUGAGACACGGCCCAGACUCCUACGGGAGGCAGCAGUGGGGAAUUUUGGACAAUGGGCGAAAGCCUGAUCCAGCAAUGCCGCGUGCAG
rnacentral:rRNA from 1 species